rnacentral:rRNA from 1 species
AUUGAACGCUGGCGGCAUGCCUUACACAUGCAAGUCGAACGGCAGCACGGGAGCAAUCCUGGUGGCGAGUGGCGAACGGGUGAGUAAUACAUCGGAACGUACCCAGUUGUGGGGGAUAGCUCGGCGAAAGCCGGAUUAAUACCGCAUACGACCUGAGGGUGAAAGCGGGGGAUCGCAAGACCUCGCGCAGUUGGAGCGGCCGAUGUCAGAUUAGCUAGNGGUGGGGUAAAAGCCUACCAAGGCGACGAUCUGUAGCUGGUCUGAGAGGACGACCAGCCACACUGGGACUGAGACACGGCCCAGACUCCUACGGGAGGCAGCAGUGGGGAAUUUUGGACAAUGGGCGCAAGCCUGAUCCAGCCAUGCCGCGUGCGGGAAGAAGGCC